rnacentral:rRNA from 1 species
UUAAAACUCAAAGGAAUAGACGGGGAUCCGCACAAGUGGUGGAGCAUGUGGUUUAAUUCGAUAGUAAGCGAGGCACCUCACCAGGGCUUGAAACUUAGCUGUGGUUUCUAGAGAUAGAAACGUCUUCGAGAUCGCUAAGCAGGCGCUGCAUGGUCGUCGUCAGCUCGUGCCGUAAGGUGUUCCCUUAAGUGGGGUAACGAGCGCAACCCCUGUCGUGUGUUAUAUAUGUCACACGAAACUGCCCAGACUUUAGUUCAUAAAAACACGUUAACAUUUAAACAUUUUAACAAUUAAUUUUGUUAAAAUGCUAAUAUGCUAAAAUGAUUUAUGGGUUGAAGUCUGGGAGGAAGGAGGGGAUGACGUCAGAUCAGCAUGGCCCUUUGACGCCCUGGGCGACACACGUGCUACAAUGGCCGGUACAGAGGGUUGCGAAAUCGCGAGAUGGAGCCAAUCCCAAAAAGCCGGUCCCAGUUCGGAUUGGAGUCUGCAACUCGACUCCAUGAAGCCGGAAUCACUAGUAAUCGGGAAUCAGCCACGUCCCGGUGAAUACGUUCCCGGAUCUUGUACUCACCGCCCGUCACGUCAAGAGAGUCGGCAACACCCGAAGGUCCUGUUUCAAAGCAGGGACAACGGUGGGGCUGAUGAUAGGGACGAAGUCGUAACAAGGCAUCCGUAGCGGAAGCUGUGGAUGGAUCACCUCCUU